GAUCAUGGCUCAGGAUGAACGCUAGCUACAGGCUUAACACAUGCAAGUCGAGGGGCAGCGGGAAUCUAGCUUGCUAGAUUUGCCGGCGACCGGCGCACGGGUGAGUAACACGUAUCCAACCUGGCCCAUACUCGGGUAUAGCCUCUCGAAAGGGAGAUUAAUCCCCCGAUGUUGUCGUUGUUCCGCAUGGUACAUCGACCAAAGAAAUUCGGUAUGGGAUGGGGAUGCGUUCCAUUAGAUAGUUGGCGGGGUAACGGCCCACCAAGUCUUCGAUGGAUAGGGGUUCUGAGAGGAAGGUCCCCCACACUGGAACUGAGACACGGUCCAGACUCCUACGGGAGGCAGCAGUGAGGAAUAUUGGUCAAUGGACGCAAGUCUGAACCAGCCAAGUAGCGUGAAGGAUGACUGCCCUAUGGGUUGUAAACUUCUUUUAUACGGGAAUAAAAGACAUUACGUGUAGUGUUUUGCAUGUACCGUUAUGAAUAAGCAUCGGCUAAUUCCGUG
rnacentral:rRNA from 1 species